rnacentral:misc_RNA from 1 species
AACAAAGUAAUAGAAAAGAGCUCUAUGCUUCUCGUCAUUCACAGUGACAUAACCUGAAAAUUGUUGAAAGCCCACAAGGGGUUGUCCAGGAAGCCUGAUAAUCUUAUCAGAAUGAGAUAAAGAAGAUGAAGAAGAUUCUACCCCCAUAGAAAUGCAUAGCUGAACCGCCAGUGAAGCAACUGCCACGGCUCUCCAUGUUUGAGAAUACAUAAUUUCAGAAAUGACUCGGAAAAAGCACUAGUCUUGGGGAGAAGAAAGAACUGUUAAAAAUGCUGCUCAGCGGAGAACACAGAGAAGCGAGGUUGGGGGGGCAGCAAGUAAAUAGCUAGGCUUGUAUUUUAUUAUCAUUACAGUUCUUGCUUUUCGUUUGCAGGCCUGAACAUUGUGUUGAAAGAGAUGUGUGAGAGA